CUAUUCUCUGCUAUUCAUUUCCAAUUUCCAGAGCUCUGAAUGAGUUGGCAAAUAUCCAUCAUCCACAAAGGGUCCAGGCUGAUUUUAUCCCCAACAAACUGGUGUCAGAAGUUUGGGUGCAAUUGGGAACGCAAAUUACAGGUAAGAGGAUCUUUAGCCCCUUGGGGACACAACUUCUGGAAUAGAAGGGAAUCAUGACGGAAUAUUUCUGUUGUGCGUCCUUAAGGGGUUGGGGACUUUACCUGCUUCUGCCAUCCUCCCAUACAUUGCAUUUCUUGUUUUAAUGGGGUUUUUCACUAUUUAAAUUUUAAAGGGGAUUUUCGCAGGAUAGUGUCUUUGGUAGACAUGUUUUUUUAAGUCUUAGGUAGACUUCUAUUAUUCCUUGAGUUGGAGAAAUGCCUUUGGUAGGCAGAAUUGUGUAAAUUGUCUAGACAAUUCCUCUUUGGUAAGAGGUCCACCUUUGGCCAGGUGGUAAAAUGUUUUUCAAGCCUUUGGUAGGCUAUCAUGUUAUGUGAUGUACAUUUACAUAUGGGUUUUGAAGACUAAAUGGUUUAGAAAAAAAAAAAACUACUAUGGUUUAGAAAAAAAAAAUAAAAUAAAAAAAAAAUAAGGGGUUAAAAGAGAUUAUUGUUUAAACCCGGUAUGAUGGAUGUUUGGCAUUACUCCGGCUUGCUAAUUUAUGUGCUAUUUUAUGAUGUGCAACGCUGAUUUUAAGCAUAAAGUCUUAAUUGAGGGAAUGUAAAAAGUACAUGUAAAAGGUGAUGAUGAAUAAGAAAAAAAAAAUAGAGGUUUUUAAGGGGGGCUACAGAUUCUAGAACUAACAUGAUUUCUCUGCAUGUAUGUUUGCAUAAUGAGCCCUUUAUUUUUAUACUUGGACAAAAGUACUAUAAGCCCACUACACUUUUUCAUGAGAGUGGGAUGUAUGAUUGUUUAUAUGAUGAGCCCUUUAUUUUCAUAUUGGGACAAAAAGUCACUUCAUUCAAAAUGUCAAACACCACAUUCAUUCUGCCCUGUGUGUUUGUUGCAGAGAAUUUAUGUUGUAAAUGUAGAUGAUUAUAAAUUAGAGAGCAACAUUUAUAUUUUCAGCGGUCCAACACAUGCUUCAUUUUGUGCUGUAAGCUAACUUGUAGUAUUCUAGUACGUCACAUGUUGUAUGUGCUUUAAAUUGUAUGUAUUCUGUAAAUUGUUGUAUGGGGUUGCUGAGAUUUUAUUGAUUGUGACCCAAACUGUGCAGAAAUGGGUUUGAAAUUUUGGUCAUGAAAUGUAGGAUCAGAAAACCAUGGACAAAGGUUUUUACCUGUGUUGAUCUGACUUUUGGAAACUCAAAUAGACCGGUCAAAAUUUUGCCAUGCCUUUAACAUGGAGUAGUAUAAAUAUUUUGAGUCUUUGAGAGUUCUGACAAAUGCAGGUGAUACCAUGUCUGUGUAAUCUGGUCCAAAUGUUCUAUAAGCUUAUAAGAGAGAAAUUCUAUGGACAGGGUACAUAUGUUGCAACUGGUUAAUGCAAGUGUUAUACAAAUGUUUAAGUCAAACGCGUUAUAUGGCCGUACGGGAUCCCUUCUUUAAAAAUAAAAAAUAAAUCCUUUGGUACCAGAACUCUUAAAUAAAUCUGAUACAAACUAAAAUUGGUAUACCUUACAAUAAUAUGUUCUGAAUACAGCUGUUAGAAGUUUAUUCUGUGUGAAUGGAGAUUGUGAUAAAUGUGUGUUUUGGGUACUCAUUUUGAAGUAUGCAGUCUAAUUGUCAUGUAUGUUAAUGUGUAUUAUGCUGUGUUAUUUUAAAUUAUAUUUGAAUAAGUUUGUCUUAGUAUUGAUACAGAUGGAAAUGGCAGCGUAAUAAUCUAUUAAAUAACUGGUUUAUUAUUGAAUACUAGUUCAAGAGCAAUAUGAGUUGUAGUCUUAAGAAAGAAAAAAGGGGGGAGUCUGUUUUUGUAAGUUUUAGCUGAUUUCCAAAAUUCUGUUGCAAUAAUGGACUUUUUGCCAAAAUUUGACUUUCCUGUCCAGUUGCCAGGUUCUCUGAUCUAAUCUUAAAGCAGUACUGCUUGCAUAGUUUGCAGACAUGCAUAAUGCACAAACAUGGGAACCUACAUUACAUUUAUUAAUUUAUUUUGGAUUGAGUUAAUUGCCUGUCCAUGAAUAUGCUUUUUGUAUUGGCAUGUCUGCUGGAUAUCUGCUAAUUUCGUUGUGUUCUUUGUUAUAAGAUGACGUGUGAUAUUACAAUGAGUAUGAAGAAUAUUUAAAGAUUAUUUGCAUGUCAUUAACGCAAGCCUUUAGUGUCUUUUUACAAUAGAUUAAAAAACGCUGAUCAGUCGACAAGAAAGAGGCCCCUGGGAAAGAAAUGAAAAAAAAAUCAUCUGCUUUUCAAAAUCGUGGUUCCACGUUUCCAAUUUUAAAUGGCUCUCUCUCUCUCUCCGUAUUAUUAGGGGAGUAUUAAGAAUUAACUCUACUUUUAAAGUGCAUUGUAUUAUUUAAGAAAAAGAAAAAUUUGUUAUCUUUAACAUAAACAAUUGUUAUGUUAUAUGGUUAUAAAAAAAAAAAAAUUAUGGAUGUAUAGGAUAGGUUUUUUUCCAAGAUUAAGAUUCAUCUAGUAUGCCUCAUUGAUUAUAGCAAAAUGAUGAAAUGGUAUUUUAAUAGAGAUCAGAUAAAUAUUGAUAAAUAAUUUCUUUUGAGGCAAUUCUAAACUACUGUAUUAUAUUUGUAUUGGUAUAUUGAAAGCAUUUUGCAGACCCAGAAGAGAAUAAAUAAUAUAAUAAUUAUAAAAGGAACCAUAAUAUGGGAAGAGGUCACCCUAUUAAAUCGCUAAGGGGGUAAACUCAUUUUUGAUAAGCAUAUAAAAUUUAGUUUUUGUGGUUAGACUUUUGAUACUCAAUUUGAACUCAAUUGAAGUAUUACAACCAUAUGCUUGCAGGUAUAGGAAACAGCUGCAAUAUGAUUUUAAUAUUUGCAAUAUAUUAGUGUUUUCAAUGUAUUCUGACAAUGGAAAAGUUCCUAACCGCAUGUCUGCAUUACACCUAUGACCCAGACUGUCAGUAUUGCAAACCCUAUAUGAAGACUCUGCUUUCACUGUUUAUGUAUACACCCCUAGACAACCGUGCUAUACAUGCACAAUAUAUCUUCAAAAGCUUAUUAAUAUUAUAUCUGUGUGGUACACAAUGAGGUGUACACGAAGAGGGGGUGAGUUAUGUCAUCUCGACCUGCAUAUGGAAUAUGCUUCCUCCUUGCUCACUUUUGGUUAAAUUGUUGGUCUGUGACUGGCCCUCUUUGACCCCAACUGAAUUUCUUGAGAAGAUUGGGAAGAUUCAUGAGAAAGAUACAGCAGGUUGUUUUGAUAUAAAGAAAGAGGGAAAAGUAUGUUGUAUCGGUCACAAAAGGAUUGUGAUCUUAAGCAGGCGAGACAAGGACAUUUGGGAGGUGAUAGGAGAUUGAAUCAGAAAAGUUUUGAAAGCAGAGGUAGAGGAUUUGAUCAAAGGAUCUAACUUUUGUAGAGGUGGUAACUUCAGCAAUGUUUUAAUUAUGGAUAGCAGGGAUUAACCCCAAGGUGCUUGUGGUGAACCCAGUUCUCCUGGUCAAGCUGGCCCCACUGGUAUUGCUGGUGUCCCUGGUGCCUGUGGUGCUCCUGGACCUCAGGGCCCCAAAGGUUCCCCUGGACCUAAGGGUAACAAUGGUGAACCUGGUGCUCAAGGAGACAAAGGAGAACCCGGUGCUAAGGGAGAACCUGGCCCAGCUGGCAUUCAAGGACCCACCCUGGCAGGUUCCUCAAUACCAACCACAACUUUCAAACUAUACCCACACCCAACAACCUCAGCCUAAUACACAGAUGGUUCAUGUUUUUAAUACUUUAUAUAUAGUUUUGAGUGAUAAAACAGUAUUAAUGCUGGCUCUUAGAGGAUGUACAAGCUGAAGUUGGGACCUAGACACUGUUUGCAUAGGCUGCGCAAUGUGAAAUAGCUAAAAUAAAAUAGGAUAAUAAGUAUGCUUAGUCAAUUUGUAACGUGGUAUAAUAGAGGCAUCUGCAAUAAAAUAAGUGGGUUUCCAGGACCUGACAAGUGAGGGCAACUUAAUAUAACAUAUGUCUACAGUUUGCUGUCCCUUCCUUAUCAGAGGUCACUUGCAACCUUAACACAGCAAGACAACUCUUCCCAAACCUGUAUUAAACAAAGUACUUUAGAACAAUAGUAAUUUAUUUUGUUUCUCCUAUUUCAUUCCUAGUUGUUCUGAAGAAAAAAAAAAUAUUGUUUAAGUGGGAUAACUGUAAGGAGGUUCCACCAUGUAUUAAAACAUGAUCACACACAUACAGAACUGGUGGCUUUUUGGACAUCGGGAUCUAUAAAAGGUUUCGGUUUCCAAAGAUGUUAUCAGGGUCCACAAAAUUUCCGAUAGACUUCAGCAUUCCAAUGUUAUUAAAGUAAUUAAUUGAGAUUAUCAAAUCAAGGUUUAAGUUUAAGAACAGCAUUUUAUUGGGAAUUAUACCAAUAUGUAUAUGUUAGUGUUUUAGUACCUAACAAGCAUUUAUAUAGAAUGAGUGCUUCUCUCAUCCAUACCAAGGCAUUCUAAAGGGAAAUUAUGUAUUACAAUUUUAUAAAGGACAAAUUCAAUGAAUCAUAAGCAAAACUGAGAGAACUACAUGUUAAGAGUUUAACUUUAGUCUCCUAUUUGAGUUUAGAUAAUUAAUUUAUUGAUGUCAUACUGAUCCUUGUGUUUGUAUGAUUAUAGAGACCAUACUGGAGUAUUUGUGCCGCCUGAUAUUUGGGACUACACACCAAUCUCUCUGGCUGACCUACCUGCCUACCUACCUUUUUUGCAAUGAAAUCUGUUUGGUCAAAAAAACAUGCUGGCCGAAGAAAGAUGCUUACUUAUGAG